CCUACGGGAGGCAGCAGUGGGGGAUAUUGCACAAUGGGGGGAACCCUGAUGCAGCGACGCCGCGUGUGGGAAGACGGUCCUCUGGAUUGUAAACCACUGUCCCCAGGGACGAAAAUGACGGUACCUGGGGAGGAAGCUCCGGCUAGCUACGUGCCAGCAGCCGCGGUAAUACGUAGGGAGCGAGCGUUGUCCGGAAUUACUGGGUGUAAAGGGAGGGUAGGCGGGGAUGCAAGUUGGGGUGCAAAACUACCGGCUCAACUGGUAGUCGCACUCAAAACUGCAGCUCUUGAGUGAAGUAGAGGCAGGCGGAAUUCCUAGUGUAGCGGUGAAAUGCGUAGAUAUUAGGAGGAACACCAGUGGCGAAGGCGGCCUGCUGGGCUUUUACUGACGCUGAGGCUCGAAAGUGUGGGGAGCAAACAGGAUUAGAUACCCUAGUAGUC
rnacentral:rRNA from 1 species